UGUAUCCUAUUUGACACCUUUAAGGAUUAUUUUGUGUGUUGUAUUUUGUUUUUCAUAGACACCUGUCUAAUGAAGAGCUGUUACCUAUAAUUGGAAAAAUUCACCCAUCAGAGCAUUACUAUGCAAAACAACAGGCAGAAUAUAUCAUACAGCAGGCUGAUGCAGAUAAAGAUGGACGUCUCACCUUGGCAGAAAUGAUCGAUCAUCCUUACGUAUUUUACAGUGCCAUUUUCAACGAAGAUGAUGAGGACGAUUAUGAUUUCCACGAUGAGUUUCGUUAAGUUUUUUCAUGAAUAGUCGAAUAGUCAGAUAGGAUUAGCAGUAGAGAAAACGGAGUUCUUUCGCAGCAUGGAAUCGGGAUACAGAGUUUGAAGUCUUAGGCAACAACUUGGAGGAGAUCUCUCUGGCAUGGUGGUCAGAACUGGGUUAAACUUCUUCAGCCAUGGCUCGCCCAUAUGGUGGUAUCCCUCUUUUUGUAGCAUAUGAAACCCCCAUCUUGUCUAAGAUAACAAUGGUUUCACACCUUAGAUUAUAGACAUUUAUUUGCCAAAAUAGUUUUGUUAAGUUCAAUGUCCUUGGUAUAGAAUUACCAUUUAAUUGUUAUUUGUUACUAAUUUAUUCUUCCUGGAUAGAAAAUUAUCAAUUAUUCAA